CCUACGGGUGGCAGCAGUGGGGAAUAUUGCGCAAUGGGCGAAAGCCUGACGCAGCGACGUCGCGUGAGGGAUGACGGCCUUCGGAUCGUAAACCUCUGUCAGCAGGGAAGAACGGUCACUGUGCUAAUCAGCCGUGAAUUGACGGUACCUGCAAAGGAAGCACCGGCUAACUCCGUGCCAGCAGCAGCGGUAAUACGGAGGGUGCGAGCGUUAAUCGGAAUUACUGGGCGUAAAGCGCUCGUAGGCGGUAUGUCAAGUCUAGGGUGAAAUCCCCGCGCUAAACGUGGGAACUGCCGUUGAAACUGGCAAACUGGAGUGUGUGAGAGGAUAGUGGAAUUCGAGGUGUAGGAGUGAAAGCCGUAGAUAUCUGGAAGAACAUCAGUGGCGAAGGCGACUAUCUGGCACAUAACUGACGCUGAGGAGCGAAAGCGUGGGUAGCAAACAGGAUUAGAUACCCGGGUAGUC
rnacentral:rRNA from 1 species